rnacentral:rRNA from 1 species
AUCUCUGUAGAGUCUGCAUAUCAAUAAGCGGAGGAAAAGAAACUAACAAGGAUUCCCCUAGUAACGGCGAGUGAAGCGGGAAGAGCUCAAAUUUGAAAUCUUCAAGGUUUGACCUUGACGAAUUGUAGUUUAAAGAAGUGUUUUCGGUUAGAGGAGUAGUAAAAGUUCUUUGGAAUAGGACAUCAUAGAGGGUGAGAAUCCCGUAUUUGACUAUUCUUUCUAGCUUUGUGAUAGCACUUUCAAAGAGUCGGAUUGUUUGGGAAUGCAGUCCAAAAUGGGUGGUAAAUUUCAUCUAAAGCUAAAUAUUGGCGAGAGACCGAUAGCGAACAAGUACCGUGAGGGAAAGAUGAAAAGAACUUUGAAAAGAGAGUUAAACAGUACGUGAAAUUGUCAAAAGGGAAGCGUUUGACACCAGUGUUGUUUUUCCGAAAAUCAAUUAAAAAUUGAUUCAUGCCAGGUUGUAUUGACCUUAUCAGCUUGCAAUUUGGUUUUGGGUCUCUUUUUGAUGCACUUUUCGGUUAACAAGUCAACAUCAAUUUCCUUUGCUGUAAAAAGGUAAGAGGAAGGUGGCUUCAAUUUCGGUUGAAGUGUUUAUAGCCUUUUAUCUCUGCAGUCGGGGAGAUUGAGGUCUGCAGCGUAGAUCCUUCGGGGCUAGAUACAUUUAUGCUAAGUUAUAGCUUUUCAUAGACAACUUGUUGACUAUGUUUAGUCAUGUAGCUUACUCGUAAGUGCUAUUUUACCUACGCUUAGGAUGUUGAAGACUCUACAGAGAUA